GGGACUGUGGCUUAGUGGUAGAGUGCUUGCCUAGCAUGCAUGAAGCCCUACAUUCGAUUCCUCAGUACCA
rnacentral:tRNA from 1 species